rnacentral:siRNA from 1 species
GGUCAUGAUUGCAGCUGGGCAAA